rnacentral:rRNA from 1 species
AUUGAACGCUGGCGGCAGGCCUAACACAUGCAAGUCGAGCGGAGCGGCGGACGGGUGAGUAAUGCCUAGGAAUCUGCCUGGUCGUGGGGGAUAACGGUCGGAAACGGGCGCUAAUACCGCAUCCUAUCAGCUGAGCCUAGGGCGGAUUAGCUAGUUGGUGGGGUAAAGGCCUAGCAAGGCGACGAUCCGUAACUGGUAUGAGAGGAUGAUCAGUCACACUGGAACUGCGACACGUUCCAGACUCCUACGGGAGGCAGCAGUGGGGAAUAUUGGACAAUGGGCGAAAGCCUGAUCCAGCCAUGCCGCGUGUGUGAAGAAGGUCUUCGGGUUGUAAAGUACUUUCAGCGGGGAGGCGUUACCCGCAGAAGAAGCACCGGCUAACUCCGUGCCAGCAGCCGCGGUAAUUC